UAGGGAAUCUUCCGCAAUGGACGCAAGUCUGACGGAGCAACGCCGCGUGAGUGAAGAAGGUUUUCGGAUCGUAAAACUCUGUUGUAAGAGAAGAACAAAUUGUAGAGUAACUGCUACAGUCUUGACGGUAUCUUACCAGAAAGCCACGGCUAACUACGUGCCAGCAGCCGCGGUAAUACGUAGGGUGCGAGCGUUGUCCGGAAUUACUGGGCGUAAAGAGCUCGUAGGCGGUUUGUCACGUCGUCUGUGAAAUCCUAGGGCUUAACCCUGGACGUGCAGGCGAUACGGGCUGACUUGAGUACUACAGGGGAGACUGGAAUUUCUGGUGUAGCGGUGGAAUGCACAGAUAUCAGGAAGAACACCGAUGGCGAAGGCAGGUCUCUGGGUAGUAACUGACGCUGAGGAGCGAAAGCAUGGGUAGCGAACAGG
rnacentral:rRNA from 1 species